CAUGGAGGGUGCCCCUGGGGGAGGGUCGCCCCCAUGGAAGAGUCCAACCUAGCGGCUGGGAGCAGGGCCGGGGGGGCAAGAGGGAGCCAGAUGUUCGGUCUCCCCCUCCUCCCCGCCCAGAGCUCGGAGCUGACCCUGAGUCAGAAGUGAAGGCCAAGCUGCAGACCCUGACCUGCUGGAGCUGUGCCACACGGUGCCCAUGGAGGUCACUCACCUGGGGGGCAAGGGCUAUGGCGCAGAGGAAGAGGAUGACUUCGCCGCCUUCCACACCUGGCUGCGCUGCUACUCCGUGCCCGGCAUGAGCUCGCUGCGGGACGGCCACGGCAGAACCAUCUGGUUCUACGGGGAUCCUGGGCCCCUGGCCCCCAAAGGUGAGCCUAGUCUUCAUUCCCUAGGAGGGAUUUGCGGUUAAUCGUGGUGGUAAAGGGACCCGGCUACAGCAGGAGGCGGGGAGCGGGGACUAGAGGAGCGAGAGAGAGAGUCUCUGGCACCGGCGCCCUUUGAUCCUUAACCAAGGAGUAGACUGCCCUGUCUGGCCUGGGGGCUGGUUAGAUUGCCCAGAGGCAGGAUGGGGGGACCAGUUGGCCUCUGUGGGGUGCCUAGGAUUCCUUUCAUUCUAAAUAACUGCAGUGGUAUUGCACCUCAGCGUUUUUGAUUGGAGUGAUCCUUUUGCGCCCACCCUCAAGGGGGGAGCCCAGAGGGCCCAGGGCUGAGGUGACCCUGUGAACCCCACGUGAGUGAAUACGCGGCCACUAUCCUUUCCAUCCUGCAGGAGAAGAAACGCCGAGGGGGUCGCACCAAGGGGAAAGCCGGGCCUGACUUCAACACCACUGAUGCAGAAGACACGGAACCCACCCGCCCUAGAAAUGGCCCCAGGGCAGGUCGACGCUCAAGCAGGAAGGCGCGGAAGGAGACGGCCAGCACUGGGACCCCGGGGCCUGAGGGAGCCGGUGAAAGAGGCGAGGAGUCCGUCCCAGGGGCCGGAGGAAACCAACCCGCCCCCGAAGACAGUUCGGCCACCGGGGAGAGGGAGCCGCCGCGCCACGCCGGGACUUGGGUAAGAGUUCCGCCUGGGGGUCCGCCUGGCGAAAGCCCCUCUCCUCCCCUGCUCCGGGGUUGCCCCCCCCGCCUCAGACCCCUGCCUGGAGAUACCCCACCCCCGAUGGUAGGAAAGCCUUUCAAGCACAGGAUGGGCUGCCCCCCUUGGUUUGGAUGGUGGGGGGCCCUUCUCCUGCCCGAAGGUUGGAGCCCGGACCAGCUGACUCCUCUCAGCCCCAGCAAGAUAAGCACGAUUCUUUGGGCUUCCCACUCCUCCAGCUCUAAACCCCCUUCUGGCUUCUGCUAGCCUAGACUGGGAAGGUGGAGAGAGGGGGAGGGACUGGGUGUGGAAGUUUUAUUCUGGAAGCUUUUGGGGCAGGACCCCCACAAGGAGGGCAGCUGUGAGGUGG
rnacentral:lncRNA from 1 species